UUCCUUUAAUCACUCAUCCUGGUUUCCUCAGGUCCACUGUUCAUGUUUAGAGAUUCUGGAAGGGUCACCUGCCCAGAAAAUUCAUGGUACCUGCCCAUUUCCUGAAUGGGAAACUGUUGACUUUCAUCUCCUCACUAGCACAGACAAGCAUAUUGAAAUUGUGUAGAAGAAUCCUGAGGGCAAAAAGAAAGAAGAUAAUCUGGUGGCAGAAUGAAGAGAUUACAUAACCUGGUGAGAAGUAUAAGUAAACAAGAGAAGCACUUUGUGUCAUUUUAUGUUGCUGUGCCCAGUGAAAUGAAUGGAAUUCUCCCCUCCAGUGGACUCUGAGAUUAUAAAUCAUUUGAGUAAUCUGCUAAUAAAUAUGGAAUGUUAAUUUUCUUUCUUUUUUAA
rnacentral:lncRNA from 1 species